UUGCUUCGGCAGCGCAUAUACUAAAAUUGGAACAAUACAGAGGAGAUUAGCCUGUAUGGCCCCUGCGCAAUGAUGACACGCAAAUUCGUGAAGCAUUCCAUAUUUUU